GUACUCACUUUGGCAGUACAUAUACUAAAAUUGGAACAAUACAGAGAAGAUUAACAUGGCUUCUGUGCAAAGAUGACAAACUUGUGAAGCGUUCCAUACUUUU